CAGUCGCCGCGGGAAUACGAAGGGGGCUAGCGUUGUUCGGAUUUACUGGGCGUAAAGGGCGCGUAGGCGGACUGAUAAGUCAGGGGUGAAAUCCCAAGGCUCAACCUUGGAACUGCCUUUGAUACUGUUUGUCUUGAGUUCGAGAGAGGUAAGUGGAACUGCGAGUGUAGAGGUGAAAUUCGUAGAUAUUCGCAAGAACACCAGUGGCGAAGGCGGCUUACUGGCUCGAAACUGACGCUGAGGCGCGAAGGCGUGGGGAGCAAACAGGAUUAGAUACCCCUGUAGUCCCUGUCUCUUAUAC
rnacentral:rRNA from 1 species